rnacentral:sRNA from 1 species
UCGCGCCAGGGGGAGUCAGCAAUGGGGCUGGGGGGCGAUGGAGGCACCACGCGCUGCUCAUAAUCCUCCCCCAGAGGGGGAGGUGGUCCGAAGGACCGGUGGGGGAAGAAGCAGGCUUGGUCGAACUUCCCCCUCCGUCCGCUUCGCGGACACCUCCCCCGCUAGGGGGAGGAUUGGGUCACUAC